rnacentral:lncRNA from 1 species
ACGUAAGAAAUCAGCCCUCCAUUAACAUAAAAGAAAACUCCCCUCUUUUCUUUUCUUUUUUCUAUUCUUUUUGGAAACAGAGCAUGCUCUGUUUCCCUUUUUUUCUUUCUUUGAAUAACAGGAGCUCCUCUGUUUUUUUUCGAAUGGGACUCUCCUCCUCUUUUCUCACCCAGCCGAGAGGUAUAUAUCAAGCUGGCGUCGAUCCCCUUCUCACACGCGGUGGAGAUGAGCGGACCCGACGGAUCUGGGGCGUGGAUCACGGGAUCACGGUUGCUGGGAAGCUUCACAGAUCCUGGGAUUCGCUGCUGUUCUAUCGCAGAAGCAGGGGAUGCUGGAUGCUCCAACGUGUGAGAUCUGGACGUGGGAGAAUCACUCGCGGGAGAAGCGGAAUCUGGGAGGCUCGUGGAUGCUAGGUGGACUGGAUCGGAAGGAAUGAGCGUGGAUCCGGAAGAAUCGGAUGAGCAGCAGAUCCUUGGACGCGCGAUGGGAUUCUGAUUGCUGUGAAUCCAGAAGAGGUUGACGGAUGUUGAUCACGGAUGCUGGAAUCACGGAUCGGAAGCUGGAUCUUUGCUGGGAUGAGGUGCGGACGAGGCGUGCGCUCGUGAGGAACUCGGACGUGGAUGCUGCGAUGAAGUCGGAUGGAGCUUGAGAUGGAGCUGGGACGCGCUGUGAACGUGGAAGCUUGGGAGAUUUGAUCGCAGAAGGCUGAGAUGUAGAUGAGAUGCUAAUCCGGAAGCAGUGGACGCUCGCAAACGGAAUGCGGAGAUGGAGC